CGUUUAAAAAGACUCACUCAAAAGUUGAAGGAGCAUCACUGUUUUGAUCUUUCUUCAUUUGUACUAGGAAUGCGUCUACAAAAUCUCCUCCUUCUCCUUCAAUGACG
rnacentral:snoRNA from 1 species